rnacentral:piRNA from 1 species
GGCAAAACAUGACAUUCUUACUGUAAC